CCUACGGGGGGCUGCAGUGGGGAAUUUUGGACAAUGGGCGCAAGCCUGAUCCAGCCAUGCCGCGUGCAGGAAGAAGGCCUUCGGGUUGUAAACUGCUUUAGUCUAGGAAAAAGGGAUGCGAGGUUAAUACCCUCGUGUUUUGAUGGUACUGGAAGAAUAAGCACCGGCUAACUACGUGCCAGCAGCCGCGGUAAUACGUAGGGUGCGAGCGUUAAUCGGAAUUACUGGGCGUAAAGCGUGCGCAGGCGGUCUUGUAAGACAGUCGUGAAAGCCCC
rnacentral:rRNA from 1 species